rnacentral:rRNA from 1 species
AACGCGAAGAACCUUACCUGGGCUCGAAGCGCAGUGGACCGGGGUAGAAAUAUCCCUUUCUCGCAAGAGACUGCUGCGGAGGUGCUGCAUGGCCGUCGUCAGCUCGUGUCGUGAGGUGUUGGGUUAAGUCCCGCAACGAGCGCAACCCUUAUUCGUAGUUGCCACCCGCAAGGGGGAACUCUACGAGGACUGCUCCGGAUAACGGAGAGGAAGGUGGGGAUGACGUCAAGUCAGCACGGCCUUUAUGUCCAGGGCUACACACGUGUUACAAUGCGCGGCACAGACUGUUGCGAACCCGCGAGGGGGAGCUAAUCGGAAAAAGCCGACCUCAGUUCGGAUUGGAGUCUGCAACUCGACUCCAUGAAGCUGGAAUCGCUAGUAAUGGCGCAUCAGAACGGCGCCGUGAAUACGUUCCCGGGCCUUGUACACACCGAUAGC